GUGGGGAAUAUUGGACAAUGGGCGCAAGCCUGAUCCAGCCAUGCCGCGUGAGUGAUGAAGGCCUUAGGGUUGUAAAGCUCUUUCAGUGGGGACGAUAAUGACGGUACCCACAGAAGAAGCCCCGGCUAACUUCGUGCCAGCAGCCGCGGUAAUACGAAGGGGGCUAGCGUUGUUCGGAUUUACUGGGCGUAAAGCGCACGUAGGCGGAUCGUUAAGUCGGGGGUGAAAUCCUGGAGCUCAACUCCAGAACUGCCUUCGAUACUGGCGAUCUUGAGUCCGGAAGAGGUGAGUGGAACUCCUAGUGUAGAGGUGGAAUUCGUAGAUAUUAGGACGAACACCAGUGGCGAAGGCGGCUCACUGGUCCGGUACUGACGCUGAGGUGCGAAAGCGUGGGGAGCAAACAGGAUUAGAAACCCCGGUAGUCC
rnacentral:rRNA from 1 species